rnacentral:rRNA from 1 species
AAUCAACGCUGGCGGCGUGCCUCAGACAUGCAAGUCGAACGAUUAAAGCUCUCUUCGGAGAGUGUAUAGAGUGGCGCACGGGUGAGUAACACGUAAGUAAUCUACCUUUGAGUGGGGCAUAACAGUCGGAAACGACUGCUAAUACCGCAUAAUGCAGCGGCAUCGCGAGAUGACAGUUGUUAAAGGAGCAAUCCGCUUAAAGAGGAGCUUGCGGCAGAUUAGCUAGUUGGUAAGGUAAUGGCUUACCAAGGCUACGAUCUGUAUCCGGUCUAAGAGGACGGUCGGACACACUGACACUGAAUAACGGGUCAGACUCCUACGGGAGGCAGCAGUCGGGAAUUUUGGGCAAUGGGCGAAAGCCUGACCCAGCAACGCCGCGUGAAGGAUGAAGUAUUUCGGUAUGUAAACUUCGAAAGAAUAGGAAGAAUAAAUGACGGUACUAUUUAUAAGGUCCGGCUAACUACGUGCCAGCCGCCGCGGUAAUAC